CCCGGCCGCGUCGCGCGGCCGAUGCGCGCUCGCCGCGCGCUCGCGACCGGUCUGGCGACCGGGCCAGCCCGGUCGCCCCGGGGGCCGGGG
rnacentral:tRNA from 1 species